rnacentral:snRNA from 1 species
AGUUCCUAUUAGAGUGUGGGCU